AUGAUGGUGACAAAAAGGCUCAUUGUGGACCUGGUCAAGAUAUACACCUGCCGUUGUGCCGGUAUUGCACGAUCAAAAUUCCUGUACAUUAAUUGGACGGAAGUGGGUUGUGCCCUCGCCAAAGAAACAUCACAGUGCCUGAAGCUAUCCCAGGUUUCCAUCAUGGCCAAGGUGUCCAGGAGGACCGCCGCCGUCUUCCUCUUCGACUACGAGGACCCGGACGAGCUCGGACGCCCAGGAGGACCGCCACCGCUCGAUGCCCUCGACCGUGCGGCCUGCCCAGGAGGAGCGCCACCGCUCGACGCCGAAUUCGCGCCGCCUCGACUAGCUUCGGCUGCCCCGAGUCGCCCUCGACCUCCCAAGCAACUCCCCGACGAAGUCUCCUGCAGAAGAGUAGCAUGGGACAGUAGUUGUGGCCGUGGAAGGAAGACGUUUACGCACACACGUCGGAGCAUCGGUGCUGCUACGUCAGAGCAAGGCGAAGGGCAACGAUGUGCGCCCGUGCGUGAGCAAGCUGCCUCGGCUGCUGCAGCCGGUACCACUGCUGGCCCCGGCCCGGUUGCACUCGGCAAUGAGCACGAGGACGCGAUCACGGAGGCAGUUCGCGAGCGGAGCACGAGGAGGAUCCGUGGAGCGUGCGGUGGUUUCGGUGGGUUUGGAUUGUUGGAGCGUGCACUGCAGCUUGGAUUUAUUUGGGAUGGAGGUGGAGAUGGGAAGGGCCUGAGGAAGAGGACAGAGGAUCUAUGGCUAUCCCAGAAAAAAUAUUUCUCUGCUGCCCCAAAUGACAUGUGGGGCCCAAAGCUACCGCGAACCAAUUCCGAAGGUGGAACAUCUAGAACUUUCUCCGUCGAUGCCCGAAGGACUCCCCACUGCUCCGCGCUCAUUCCACCACCUUUCAGAAGUUUCCAUCACCUUCCAGACUCUCCGUGUCCGGCGACCUACAUAAACUCCCUCCUCCUCCUCGCCAUUGCAUCCCCAUCAAAGCAUUCCAUAAAAUUCAACAAGCUAUCCAACGCAAGUCCAACCCGAGGAGAUCUAUGGAGCUCAAGAUCAGCGAGCGAGAAUGGCGAGAAUGGUGUUUGGCUUGGAGAACCCGAUGAUGACGGCGCUGCAGCACCUACUGGACAUCGCAGACGACGAGGCUGGUGGAGCCGGUGCAGCCGGCAGCAAGAAGCCGGGCCCGACGCACGUGCCAUGGCGGCCACCCCGACCGACGUGAAGGAGCUAUCAGGCGCGUAUGUGUUUCUGGUCGGCAUGCUAGGGCUCGGAUCCGGCGACAUCAAGGUGCAGGUGGAGGACGAGCGAGUGCUGGUGAUUAACGGUGAGCGGCGCAGGGAGGAGAAAGAGGACGCUAAAUGCAUGCGGGUGGAGCGCUGCAUGGGCAAGAUGAUGCGCAAGUUCGUGCUGCCAGAGAACACCGACAUGGAGAAGAUCUCUGUCACGUGCCGCGGCGGCAUGCUUACCAUGACCGUCGAGAAGCUGCCGCCGUCUGGGCCCAAGAAGCCCAAGACUAUCCAGGUCCAGGUCGCCUGA
rnacentral:rRNA from 1 species